UACGGAGGAUGCAAGCGUUAUCCGGAAUGAUUGGGCGUAAAGCGUCCGCAGGUGGCAAUGUAAGUCUGCUGUCAAAGCGUCUGGCUCAACCAGAUAAAGGCAGUGGAAACUACAUAGCUAGAGUAAGGUAGGGGUAGAGGGAAUUCCUGGUGUAGCGGUGAAAUGCGUAGAGAUCAGGAAGAACACCGGUGGCGAAAGCGCUCUGCUGGACCUAAACUGACACUGAGGGAUGAAAGCUAGGGGAGCGAAUGGG
rnacentral:rRNA from 1 species